rnacentral:rRNA from 1 species
AAGCACCCCGGGAGGGGAGUGAAAUAGAACCUGAAACCGUGUGCCUACAACAAGUUCGAGCCCGUUAAUGGGUGAGAGCGUGCCUUUUGUAGAAUGAACCGGCGAGUUACGAUAUGAUGCGAGGUUAAGUUGAAGAGACGGAGCCGUAGGGAAACCGAGUCUUAAUAGGGCGAUUUAGUAUCAUGUUGUAGACCCGAAACCAUGUGACCUACCCAUGAGCAGGUUGAAGGUGAGGUAAAACUCACUGGAGGACCGAACCAGGGCACGUUGAAAAGUGCUUGGAUGACUUGUGGGUAGCGGAGAAAUUCCAAACGAACUUGGAGAUAGCUGGUUCUCUCCGAAAUAGCUUUAGGGCUAGCGUCGAUGUUAAGUCUCUUGGAGGUAGAGCACUGUUUGGGUGAGGGGUCCAU